UGACCAGAUCCCCAAAGGAAAUGCUUCACUACUGCUGAGAGGGAUCACACUCCAGGACCAGGGCAGAUACAAGUGUUACACCAGCACUAUUAAAGGCAACAAGGAGUCUUCAUUAACAUAGCAGUGGAAGCUCCAGUCCGCUUGGUGGACAUACAGUUAUCAGAUGACAUCAUCACCUGCAGUUAUACAGGUAUCUACCCCGAGCCUAAACUCACCUGGUCCACUGACCCCCUCUGACCUUUCAUUUGACCCUGGAACCAUCCAGAACUCACCAGCAUCAAGGUGGAUGACCGGGCCUCUAUGACAUCACCAGCACAAAACAGUUUAGCAGAGACCGAACCAACAUCUGUACCGUGACCUCUGGGACAGUAGAAAGGACAGCAACCCUGAAACAGCAAGAUCCGGUCCAGGGUUCUCCAAGCAGUGGGUGUCCAUCCCCUGCAGU